UCCUCCUUAGCUCAGAGGUAGAGCGCUUCACUUGUAUGAUCUCCGCGGCAAUUGAAUGUAGAUCGAUGAAGAGGCCAGUCGUUCAAAUCGGCUAGGGGGAA